rnacentral:rRNA from 1 species
UACGAAGGGGGCUAGCGUUGCUCGGAAUCACUGGGCGUAAAGCGCACGUAGGCGGAUCUUUAAGUCAGGGGUGAAAUCCCGAGGCUCAACCUCGGAACUGCCUUUGAUACUGGGGAUCUCGAGUCCGGGAGAGGUGAGUGGAACUGCGAGUGUAGAGGUGAAAUUCGUAGAUAUUCGCAAGAACACCAGUGGCGAAGGCGGCUCACUGGCCCGGAACUGACGCUGAGGUGCGAAAGCAUGGGGAGCAAACAGG